UACGUCAGCGGCAGACGGGUGAGUAACGCGUGGGAACGUACCUUUUGGUUCGGAACAACACAGGGAAACUUGUGCUAAUACCGGAUAAGCCCUUACGGGGAAAGAUUUAUCGCCGAAAGAUCGGCCCGCGUCUGAUUAGCUAGUUGGUAGGGUAACGGCCUACCAAGGCGACGAUCAGUAGCUGGUCUGAGAGGAUGAUCAGCCACAUUGGGACUGAGACACG
rnacentral:rRNA from 1 species